rnacentral:rRNA from 1 species
ACGAACGCUGGCGGCGCGUCUUAAACAUGCAAGUCGAACGGCAGGAAGGGGCUUGCCCCUUCUGAGAGUGGCGGACUGGUGAGUAACACGUGGGUGACAUACCUUUUAGUUGGGGAUAGCUAUUAGAAAUAGUAGGUAAUACCGAAUGUGACCGUACCUGUUAGAGGGGUACGAGGAAAGGAGCUAAGGCUUCGCUAAAAGAAUGGCUCGCGGCCCAUUAUGCUCGUUGGUGAGGUAACGGCCCACCAAGGCGAUGAUGGGUAUCCGGCCUGAGAGGGUGAACGGACACAUUGGGGCUGAGAUACGGCCCAGACUUCUACGGGAGGCAGCAGUUAAGAAUAUUCCGCAAUGGACGAAAGUCUGACGGAGCGACGCCGCGUGGAUGAAGAACGCCGAAAGGUUGUAAAAUCCUUUUAAGCCUGAUGAAUAAGCACAGUAGGGAAUGAUUGUGCGGUGACCGUAGGGCUUGAAUAAGCACCGGCUAAUUACGUG